GGAGCUCUUAGCGGUAUGUGCCUGUUUUGUCCCCUUUCACUCAUGCUUCGUCAUUGGGAGGGUCUGGAGCAGAGAUUAAAGGGAGGUGCAGUAACUGACCAGUGCCAUACAACCUGGGGGCAGGGCCCACAUGUGCCAGGUUAGUAUCCAAAGCAUAUGGAAUAUCAUUACAGAAAACCUCUAAGCUCAGAAACACGAAGAGGGUGAGGAUGUGCAGAGGGACACUGUAAGAUCAGCAAGCAGGAAGACAGAAAAAUAUAUUUUUUCAUGGCAUUUCAGCUGUCCCUUCUGGCUUGACCUUAUGUUGCUGAAGGCCUUGUGAUAUUUCCUUAAAGGCCUUUUUUAACCACGUGUGUGUGUAAGUGAAUGUGUCCUUCCUAAAGCCUUAUAGCUCCAGCUGUGAGAGCUGCACUUUGUGCACAGGUUGCCCUGCAAAGGCAGGUAUGUUCCCGCGGCCCUUCCAGACAUGCAGAUAGAAAUGUCCGGGACACCCAGGAGGCCGGGUAGGGGAUGUCCCUGCCACGGCUGCGACAGCCGCCGCUCGGGGAGGCAGGAGGAAGCCGAGCGAGCUAAGGACACGCGUGGGGAGCUGCUGCGCGGGGCUACCGCCGCGGGGGUCGGGGCCGCCUCGGGGCGAGGCCGGGGGGCUCCUGCCGGCGGCCUGGGCUCGGGGGAAGGAAGAAGGGCGGCGGCGGCGGCCCCGGGCGGCCGGCAGGGGGCUCCCUCCGCCCUCGGUGGGCCGCGGGGCGCGCAGGUCGGCGCGGCGCAAUGCCCCGGCGGAGGCGCCGCCGGGAGGAGCGCGGGGCGGGCGGGCGGCGGCAGCGGGCACCGGCGGGACGGCGGCGGGCACCGGAGGCCUCCUCCCUCCUCGUGCACGGGACUCGGCGGAGCUCCGGGGAGGGCGAGGGGGUGGAGAGGGCAGCCUGGGCGAGCCUCCCAAAUUCGCCCGGCCGGCUGGCGGCGGGAGCUGCCCGGCGCAGGGGUGGGGACCGGUCGCUUCCUUAAACGUGCGCGGCGGGGGGCGGCGGGGCCCGCACCGCCCCCGGGAGCCGGCCCGAGCCUCCCGGGCCGCGGCCGCAACACGUGGAGCAAACUUUCGAGGGACGGGCACCCGGCUGCAGCCGGCCACCGAGCACCGCCGCGCCGGGACCGCGCCACACGGAGCACCUCGCCUCUUGCUGGAACAUUCCAACUGCUUUUCUUAAGGCUGAAUUCUUUGUAAAGGAGAAGUGACUAGAAACCCCAAACUGGGUCCCAGGUCUUGCUUAACUUUGUAAGGCACACUGACAUACUGACGCUGCUCCAGUUAAGGUAUGGUAUGAAUCAGAAACUCUAACAGCCGCCGUGGAAUGAGUGUGUUCACAUGAAGUCAUCCUGCAGUGACUAUUACAGAAUAGUCAACUCCUCUUUGUAAGCAAGCCCCAAAAGAGAAUUCUUGUCCCAGCGACUGUGUGACUAGAUAAAAGAUAACGGGCACAAGAAAGGCACCCUGCUAUCAGCUAAGGAUGGGCGCUGUUCGACUGGCUGCGAACAAUGAAACUUGUGCUGCUCAAGGCCACGCAGGACUGUCCCGGGAGCGUCCUUCCUUGCGGGCUGAUUCCAGGAAUGUGGCACUUUUGGAAUGGUUUGUUUCAGGACUUUCUGCUUUGACACCUGUGAUUGCUGAGACUGGCCCAUCAUAGGAAACCCCAGACCCUCUGCUCCUCUCCACCGGGAUUUCCUCUCUUAGCAACUCCAGUGUCUUCACCUGAUACUGAAGGAGGAUGGAAGAAAUUGAAUGUUUCCUUUGGCAAGAUGUGUGGAUGGAACUAAUCUGUUUUCAAUCUGAUAUCUACCAAACCAACUAAGUAGAAUCACCUCGACUGCUAACAGGUUGGAGAACAACAAUCUACUCUUUGUACUGAAAGCAGGAAGAUCUGGAAUGGGGUUUUGUAACAUUUUUUUGAUAUGAUCCUAUAUUACAAUUUUUAUAUUUAUUAUCUGCACCUUUAUCUGCACUCAAAAUAAGAAUGUUUAUGUUAAAAUAAACAUUUUUACUCUGAAAUACUGGAAUGAGCCUGCCCAGCUUCUUCCUAUCUCAGCUCAGCCCCUUUGAAGAGAAUCAACUUGUGGAUUUUAAAGUCCGAAGGACCAGUCUGGACCUCAGAGGAUGCACACAGAGCGAUCAAUGCAAUUCAUCCUGAAAACAGUGCCCUUAUGAACGGAUCUUUUUCUUAUGUGCUAUGGGAACUCUGCCUAUAUAAAUGUCUGAUAAACUGUUCCAGUGUUUUCUAACCUUGUCUUGUACCUUAUGGCAACCCAGAAUUUCCCACUUAUGCCUCUUAUACAGCUACAGUGGAAGAAACCCUUCACGUAUGUGACUGCAUAUGGUGAAUAGGAGAACAAGAAGGUUUGGUGUUAACUUUUAUACUAUCUGUUCUCAAAACAGCUCUAUUACACAUCUCCUCCAGUUGUCUGUCAGAGUGGAGAGCAGGCACAGCAGAGGUCCGUAGGGACACUUGGCUAGGGACUGAUAGGCAGGAGGGAUCCCACAUAUCCUGCGGGUGGGAUCCAGCCUGCCCCCCCCCCCCCCCGUUACACCAUAGGGAAUUUUCAGCAGCCCCGUGAGACCAUUUCUUAGUGCCCAGGCUAAGACACUAAGAUUUCAAGGACAAACUUGGCUGUUCUUUCUGAAAGUUCUGUGUCAUUUAGCACUUCCAAUCUGGCUUGGAAAAACACAUAAAUACAAUAAAUAUGUUUUGAAAAGUGUAUGAGGCAAUCAUGUUGUUUUCAGAGUCAAUUUCAGGUGUUGCUAUCAGUUUCUACUGUGCUUAAGCAUUGCCCCAACCUUUCUUGGAGUUGCCAUCCCUAGAAUAUGCUAGGUAGUAUGAACAUUAGGAUAGAAGCCACCACAACAAAUCAGCGUGGUACUUGCAUGCAGAUAAAUCUGCAUGGAUAACAGAGUAGCUGCUAAGCUUGAGCCACCACUCACGUUACUUUGCACAUCCUUGGAAAGCACACAGUGACAACAGUAGUACAACCACCCACCAAGAAUAGACCCAAAGGAGCAAAGGUUGCAGAGUGAGGGAGUGAGGUCCCUACCGGGAAAAAUGAAUUGUUCUUCAAGUACAAGCGAUUCUGUUAGAGUCUCUCAAACGCUGCUGUUCCAGGCUGCAAGGAGUCUCGCUGCAGGGGACUCGCUUUCUGAACUGCCCUGUAAUGUUAUCAGCUGCUUUCAGUGCACAACUCCUGUCUGGAAUAAUUUAAUGUGGUACA